AAAUGGACUUACAUUUGACUGAGGAAAGUGGAAGAGCAGUAAUAUCAAUGUGGAAACGGACAAAGUCGGUGUGAUCAUAGCUGUUAGGAGAUCCUAGUCCAACUCAGUCAGGGUCUACUGGUGCUACCCUGGCGCUGGACAACACUGGUGCUGUCUCACUGCCCUUGAACAUCUACAUGCUCACAACAUCCAUACCACAUACCAGAUUCUCUACCUUGAAAAUCAGGGUGUGUUUGUAUUUAUGUGGACACUUACAUGACUGCAUCAUCCCUUGGUGGCUGCAAGGAAAUUUGAGCCCCAGGCACCUUAUCCAGAGUCCUUCCUGGGCUGGGCUAUAGAGGAAUGGUUGUACCCACAGCAGAAGGAAAGCAAAGGGUCCAAACAGC
rnacentral:lncRNA from 1 species